rnacentral:rRNA from 1 species
UGGGGUAUAUUGGACAAUGGGCGAAAGCCUGAUCCAGCCAUGCCGCGUGUGUGAAGAAGGUCUUCGGAUUGUAAAGCACUUUAAGUUGGGAGGAAGGGCAGUAAGCGAAUACCUUGCUGUUUUGACGUUACCGACAGAAUAAGCACCGGCUAACUCUGUGCCAGCAGCCGCGGUAAUACAGAGGGUGCACGCGUUAAUCGGAAUUACUGGGCGUAAAGAGCGCGUAGGUGGUUCGUUAAGUUGAAUGUGAAAGCCCCGGGCUCAACCUGGGAAACGCACCCAAAACUGGCGAGCUAGUGUAGGGCAGAGGGCGGUGGAAUUUCCUGUGUAGCGGUGAAAUGCGUAGAUAUAGGAAGGAACACCAGUGGCGACGGCGACCACCUGGGCUCAUACUGACACUGAGGUGCGAAAGCGUGGGGAGCAAACAGG